rnacentral:rRNA from 1 species
UACAGAGGGUGCAAGCGUUAAUCGGAAUUACUGGGCGUAAAGCGUGCGUAGUCGGUUAUUUAAGUCGGAUGUGAAAGCCCCGGGCUCAACCCGGGAAGUGCAUUCGAAACUGGCGAACUUGAAUAUGGAAGAGGGUCGCGGAAUUCCCGGUGUAGAGGUGAAAUUCGUAGAUAUCGGGAGGAACACCAGUGGCGAAGGCGGCGACCUGGGCCAAUAUUGACGCUGAGGUGCGAAAGCGCGGGGAGCAAACAGG